UCGGACGGCCGGGCGGCCGCGGGCCGCGGCCUUGGGGUCGCUGCUCGAGGAAAGUCCGGGCUCCACGGAGACAGGGCGCCGGGUAACGCCCGGCCGGUCCGCCCUUCGGGGCGGGCCGAGGGAAAGCGCCACAGAGAUCGAACCGCCCCGGCUCGCCGGGGCAAGGGUGAAAAGGUGCGGUAAGAGCGCACCGGCGGCUCAGCAAUGAGCCGCGCAUGGCAAGCCCCGCCCGGAGCAAGACCGCGUAGGGACCGCGCGCCGAAAGGCAGGGGCGUCUCCGCCCCGAGCGGUCCGGGUUGGUCGCUAGAGGCCGCGCGCAAGCGCGCGCCCCAGAGGAAUGGCCGCCCCCUCGCGAGAGGGACAGAACCCGGCUUACAGGCCGUCCGACGCU
rnacentral:RNase_P_RNA from 1 species